rnacentral:lncRNA from 1 species
UUUCAUAAGUUGUGGAUUCAAUUCGUUCAUCUACUUGAUUGAUAACUUAUUUGUGUAUGUUGAUUGAGAGUACACGCUUAGUUUUCAUGAAUAUGAUGCUAGAUUAUGAGGGAGUUUCACCUAAUAGUUACAAUCUUAUAAUCACAAGUAGUGAAGGUCGCUUGAAAACGAUCGCGUUGAAUGAAUUCUUGGCAUAAGUUUCAUGCAAUUCAUAGUAACAAAUGCUUCGUCAAUGCUUAUGUUUUUCAUAGAACUUAAUGAUUCUUGCUUGUAUCUCUAUUAUGCAAUUCAUGUAGGGAACUUGUAGGGAAUGCUUUGGGUUGUCGUAUGCAAUCAUCCAACUCAAUAACUCGUGGAAAAACUGAGGGUUAAUUAGUGCAAUUCACGGUUAAUUUGGGGCGUUGAGUAUUUAUAAUUUAUUGGAAGAACAACUGAAAAUCGUUUCGUUUGCAAGUGUGACAUGUGUGGAGAAGAACCUCCUAACUAGCCUUUUAUCAAUCCCUUUCAUUCAAAAACGUUUUACAAUCUGUUUAGUUUUAAGUUUCUGUUUGUUUUCAAUUUUCGUCCAAAACAAAUCCCCCUUUAUUUUGAAGUCUUAGAUUAGAUAGAAAGUGUUUCGAUUUGUGUUUCUAAGUGUUUUGAUUCAAGUUUUCACUCAAAUUCGUCCAAGUUCUUGUUAGGUUCUCA